UAGACGAAAUGGUCAAAUGGACACCGCAGCUCGGCUCCUAGAAACGCACCCUAAUCCGCUCAGUGUCAAGGUCGUCUGUAGCCGGCGCAGUUGCCUCGUUCUGUGCCGCCAUGUCCCUCAACCGCAGGCGUAAUCGAGUCCGUUGUCGUCCCUCUCUUCCGCUUAAGGAGCUGCCCUGAUAAAAAUCAGAGAACAAUGGCCAGUGCGCCGAGAAAUGAGCAGCUCUGACACUCUGGUCGAGAUAGGUUCUUGCUUUGGUGAUUGUGAUCCUAUUCAAUAUGAAAUGCUUAUCUUCUUAAUCUUCAAAGCAUCAAACAUUACCUCGAAAGAAGUCAAAGAACCAAGUGUGAACCGAGAGAAAUUCAAGUCUUAACCCAAGCUUCUCCAUUACCACCUUGAAUGGAUCAUUGAACCUCACGAACUCAAGGUGCAGCUUCUUCAGGCAGGGAAGUCAGGCAUCGUUGACACUAGUGAACAGAUGAGACGCAUUACGCAAUGCCUUGUAAGCACUGCAACAAUUGAGAGCCUGAGAGGCCGUGUUGGAACCAUGAGCAGCAUGUUGGCGGCACCCGUGCACACGGUGGAGGUGGCGUGGCGGACGAGUUGCGGCGGCGGACAUGGGAGUAUUGGACACGGGGGGACGCGUGUGAAGCUGCGUCGGCGGACGAUGAGGAGGACGGAGAUCACGUCGGCGGCGCUGCUGCGGGCUUCCAGUCCAGGACCACUCGUCGGCACGGCGCACGCUACACGCGGAGGUGAACUGGCGAAGCAUGCAAGCUGAGAUCGGAGCCAAGCCGACGACGCGAGCGCGCGAUAGGCUAGGAAACGGCACAUCAUCACGAUCCGUUGGGUCCGCACAGAAGUAAUUUGGGGACGGUCCCCACUCAAUUUUCCGAGGUCCUGGGGAAUUAUAUUUGACAGUAAAAAAAAGUCAAUAUUUCAGCUGUCAGUCUGACGACCAA